GUGAAGCAGAAGGACUGUGAGUUGACAGUGACACAAACUGAACUGUCGUGGACAAUUAGAGACCAGAAGAAAAAUGGUACAUUUUCUGUACGUUGUCGGGACCUGGUGGCAGUCAAAACAAAAGAGGAUGUAAAGAAUAAAGACUCUACAGUCUUGACGGUUGUUUACGUGAAACAGCGAAAGGAUUUUGUUUUGAAACGCUGUGAAGAGUCAUUUAGUGGCAGUAAUGGAGUGUGCUUGGCAGUGGCGAAAACCCUUCAGGAUGGAAUUAACCAAUGUGCUGACAGGCCAAAGCGUCUCCUUGUAUUGAUAAAUCCUAUCUCCGGGUUUUCAAGAGGAGAGAAGAAUUACAAAAACAUUUGCGCCCCUAUUUUUGAGGAAGCCGGCAUUCAAACUGAUG